CCUCCUCGCCGCCGCCGCCGCCACCACCACCACCUCUCCUUUCUAUUCUUCUGCCGCCACCACCCCAUCUUUCUUCUUCGCCUCUUUCCACACCCCUCAUCUGCCAUUCAUUCUCUGCAUCCGGGUCUCCUCGUGUAAUGUCAUGGCAUAAAUCGCAGAAACAUUCCUCUGUUCUUCCUGCCCUUCGAGCCCGCACCAGAAGCAGGGGUCCUCAUCGAUCGAUCUUUGAGGAUGAAAUUAGUCCCGGUUCUGUCGGCGUUAGCUGUGGUGUUGUUGGGGUUCGUCGUCAGCUUCUCUUUCCCGGCAUCGAUGACGCCCAAUCUUCAGUGUGGCGUACAGCCUUGGAGUAGCAGCGGACAGCGGGGCUGCAAACUCCAGCUCCAAUGGCAUUGACAGCAGCUUCCUGGGCAGUCUGUGGGCACCGUUAUUCAGGAACAGCGGUAGCACAUUAAAUGCCACUUCAGGGAUGCCUUAGAUUCUCCUCACCAUCGGCGACCACCCCUCCUCCUCGCACCAGAUUGAGCAGCAGGCUGGGCAGAGCAGAGCGGAGCGAACGGGCCAUGCCAGAACCAGCAUAACACGGUAGCGGGCGGAGAGGGCGAGGCUGAGUCGCUGGACUACGACCUGGUGGAGGAGGAAAUCCAGGGCUCGGGUUUCAUCUACAUGGUCGACUGCUCGGGUGUUGUGCCGCGGGUCAGUGCUUGGUUGCUCUUCAACGCCUUCAUCUUUAUUGUCUCCUACACCUUUGGCUACAUGCUUGGCCAACAUGACGGCCCAUGCAGCAAGUUUGAGGCCGACCGCAACCACGACAUUGACGGCAUCCAUAACAAUCACAACUUCCCAUUUAUGGUAUUGACGGCACAACAUUAGCACAGAUUAGCACAGAAGCUGGCAAGAUUAGCACAGACAUGAAGAAAAGAAAGACAUCCUCAGAUAAUUGUAUUGCGAGGAUCAUCCAUUUAUGGUAUUGACGGCACAACAUGUAUGCCUUCACAGCUUCAAAUCUGGUUUAACCUGUCAAGCGUGGGUCCAACCAUGGUGUUGCAAGCUCGGCAGCGACCCCUAGGUGAACUGCAGCGACGUCACGAAUUCAGACCGCAAGGCGGCCCACGCGUCGCGCGCCGCCGCCUCGCUCUCUCCGGCGCCACCGACGCGCCCCAUCACGCCUCCCCUCCCACCCACACGGCCGCGGGAGAGGGGCCCUCCUGCUCCCCGACCGCCGAUGACCCCGUCCUCCUCAGCGUCAACGACAACCGCGUGCCCCUCGAGGGUGUCAUCCAGGUCGAGAGGCUCAGCCAGGCCGACGCCCAGUCCAAGCUCGUCUCCUACGCGAAGACAGGGCUUCUGGCAGGAGGGGAUCUGCUUUUCCUCCUGAUCUUCUUCGUAAUUGGGAGGUUGAGCCAUGGCCUACCCGUGCUUCUAAGUAAGAAAAUAAGGAUGCACUGAUUCUCUAUAAGCUUGUCAAACAUUCUCUAUAAGCUUGUCAAACGACUUGUGGAAGACGAUGCAAAUGGAUGAAAAUAGUAACUCGGAAAGUUGAGCCAAAUAAUUUAAACCAGUGAGGUAUUAUGUUCAUGUAUUUUCAAUGGAAUCCUUUAAAAGAUAUUAUUACCAGUAUGUGGACUUGCAUUUGUUUUUAACUGUCCAGCUCCUAACCAUUGUUGCUUUGUAGUGGCCGUUGAUGAGAACAACUUUUAGUCAGAUUUCCUAUCGCACACUGAAUUAGUACAAUGUAUGCGUUUACACCUCAUCUCAACUAUGUGAUACCGCAAAAGUUGAGCGUUGUGAUAAUUCACCAUUCAGAUACUUCACUGGAGAAAUGUAUAGACAAUUCACUUAGGAGUGUACAAUUGCAGUAGUAAUGACAAGAAGCGACAGUGGGUCUACAACACUAUGUUUCAUGUGAUGUGAAUGGGUAUAUAUCUUACUUGCAAAUAUGCUCCCUUCUUUGUACCCUAUACAUUAGAUAUUUUGUUUUUUGAAUUUUUGGGCCAUGCUAAUUAUUUGAGUAAUUAGGGUCAUCCUGAUUAUUUCCAAUUUUAGGUCAUUCUAAAUUAUUUGGAAUAGUUUGCCAGCAUUGCUGGAGAUAAAUCCAAUAGAAAAAAGUGUAUAUAGCCCCCACAAGCAAUAUUUCUGGAACCAUGUUAUUACCACAUAUUUUAACAAAAAUGAACAUGAUUAAUUCAAAUCCUUAUUAAGAUACGGAUAG